AUACGGAGGGUGCAAGCGUUAUUCGGAAUCACUGGGCGUAAAGGACGCGUAGGCGGGUUGGCAAGUCAGAUGUGAAAUCCUACAGCUUAACUGUAGAACUGCAUUUGAAACUGCUAACCUAGAGUAUGGGAGGGGGAGAUGGAAUUAGUGGUGUAGGGGUAAAAUCGGUAGAUAUCACUAGGAAUACCGAAAGCGAAGGCGAUCUCCUGGAACAUAACUGACGCUAAGGCGUGAAAGCGUGGGGAGCAAACAGGAUUAGAAACCCUAGUAGUCC
rnacentral:rRNA from 1 species